rnacentral:rRNA from 1 species
CAAAUAUUGAAGGCACCGCCUGCCCAGUGACACAUGUUCAACGGCCGCGGUAUCCUGACCGUGCAAAGGUAGCAUAAUCACUUGUUCUUUAAUUAAGGACUUGAAUGAAUGGCUACACGAGGGUUCAACUGUCUCUUACUUUUAAUCAGUGAAAUUGACCUUCCCGUGAAGAGGCGGGAAUGUACUAAUAAGACGAGAAGACCCUAUGGAGCUUAAAUAAUAUAAUCCAAAUAAACAUAUUUGAAUCUAAUAAGAUAUAAAAUAAUAAUUAUUUAUGGAUUAAAAAUUUCGGUUGGGGUGACCUCGGAGCAUAACACAACCUCCGAACAAUUUUAACCUAGACCUAACCAGUCAAAGUGUUCAUAUUACAUUAAUUGACCCAAAUUAAUUUGAUCAAUGGAACAAGUUACCCUAGGGAUAACAGCGCAAUCCUAUUAUAGAGUUCAUAUCGACAAUAGGGUUUACGACCUCGAUGUUGGAUCAAGACACCCUAAUGGUGCAGCCGCUAUUAACGGUCCGUUUGUUC